rnacentral:lncRNA from 1 species
AAAAAGAAACAUUAUUGUAAGAGGAUAAUAUUGUAAAAGUAAGUUAAAAGAAACAAAAAGUAACAGUAGGGAUAUCAAUAAUUUAAGGGUAUAGAUGUUUUGAGGCAUUUUUAAAAAUAUAGAGACUAAAUAAGCACUAAUAUUAAAAUAUAAGGAUGAAACGAACUUUUACCCUCGAAAACCCAACAUUUAAACUUUUACAAGGAGAAACAAAAUAAUUAAUUUUAUCUCCAAAAAUAAAAUAACACCACCAAACAUCUACAUAUACUGCUUUUGCUUUUGAAGUAAAAUUAUCGAUCCCAACUAAAAAUAGGUUCAAACUUGUAGAUUUUCUCAUGUGAUGAUACAUGGUUUUCACAUGUUAUGUUUGAUAUCAUAUUUUUUUAAAAAGAAAAAGAAAAACGAAAUUACUUAUGCACAAGAGCACCAGACACAUAAUUGAUUGUGAAGGGGACAAGAAUCCCAAAAAAAGAAACAUUGUUUCAUGAGAUAUGAAAUAUUAGUGAUAAUGAAGUUCGAUGAUAGGGGAACAUGCUAGGUCCCUGUGAGAUCGACAAAAUUAACUGUUUAUCAUUCUAAUCUUGUGCCAAUAUGGCUCCACUCUAGUCUUAUGACCAUCAAAUUUCCCGUUUUUGUUAAUUAUUCUCUAUUUUUCUAAUAAUGCAUUGAUGCCCGCUCACUCUCCCAACAAAUUAAUUGAUAUGUCUCUCCAAAUAAAGGAGAGGGGAGAUACAUUUUAGUAUAUAUCGAAAUAGUAAUUUAGAAUGCAUCGCAAUAGUAAUAAUAUUGAUUGGUUUUAAUAGAUUUUUAAUUGUAUAUAUCACCAUGAUAGUGAUUACAAGAUAAUAAUAAAACUUUGACGACAUCCGAAUUGUUUUUUUGUUUGGACCAACUUAUAUAUAAUAAUAAAGAUUUUGAGAAUAUCCAUAUUAGAGACUAACUGCAAUUUUACGUAAGCUGCUUUAUUGUUAGGACCCCAUCCCAUGGGAUAACUCUGGUUGAGAAGCAAGGAUUAUUACCCAUGGCCAUGGUGUUUUUGGCAAUUGGUCGAAUAAUGACCCUGCCCAGCCCCACGAACAGUAUUUGCAUAAAAAGUGUUGAUUGAUUAUCUGUGACAAGUUGUACGAUCCAUUAUAAGUGUGUCGGCUUAAUCUUCUUCUACAUCUAAGCCAACAAAAUAGCACACCUUCUG